rnacentral:lncRNA from 1 species
GGCAAACCUCGAAUCCGAACCCGAAAACUCCUCCCACAAAUCACCCAAACAGAUACCCACAUUCAAGAAAUCCAACAACGCCAACUUAGCAUCAAAGACUCCAUCUUUUGAGUGAUGAAAGCAAGCAGCAAUGUCACCAUUGUCAAGGUGCUUGAGGGACACCAAGUGGGACCCAACAACAUAGACAAUUAUAAAUCCAAAUACUCCUGAACAGUAUAUGUAUUUUAGUUAUACAUACGAGUCCUGUCUUAAAAGUUGAAACUCAUGAGUAGAGAUACACACUGAUUUAUGUUCAUAUGUAUAUGCAUAAUGAUCUUUCUUGCAAAAUAAUGUUGUGACCUAUUCCAACCAUUAAGUUCUAUACUUGAGUGGUCAUAAUUCUAACAACGUGAUAAAGUAGGUCAGGUAUAUCAUUGGAAGUAAUAAUAGAGCAACUUAGGGACUUGAUAUAAGGUAUAAUCAAGAUACUUAAAGUGAGGCAAAAUGACAGCAGCUAACCAGAGCUUAUUAGAGCAUAUACUCAUGCAUUUAGCUCAAGUGUGAGUUGCACCUAGCCACCUAGGCACUCACUUGAGUGUAACGAGCCUUAUACACAAACUUAUAAUUUCAACGUUCAUGGAGUCCUGGAAGUAACAAUGAGUUUUGUCUGACAAAUCCCUAUUAUUCACUCUCAUAUCAAUAGUACUCUAUCACUUUAAGUUCCAAAGAGAAUGUUUUUAUUUUUCAACGUAUUUCAAAACGAGUAGAGCAAAAGAACACCUCUUAUGUUACCUAAUGUUGUAAAAACAAUCAUUUCCUGAUUAUAAUUCCACACUGCCAUUAUACCGUAAUUUAAAAAUUUUGGCUCACGUAGAAAAAUUACUAACAAAUCAUAUAAACUAAUAUGAACAAAAUGAACUCUCUAGCACAUUCUGGCAUCAUCAAAACAACAGUAAACAAACAAGCGAAACAAGUGCACAAAAACAACCUGUAUCCGAAACCAGCCACUCGAAGCUCUUCUUCAGAAACAAUCGAUAACCUAUCCAAAGUAGGAAACUCAUAAAACCUAAAACCCUCAACAGUCCCCAAAUAAACCCCUAACCCUGAAAUGAAAUCAACCAUUUGGGUAAUCCUCUUAAUAUUAUUAUUGGAAGAACAAAUAAACUGCACAAGACACUCCAAUGGGUCCUGUCUAAGCACUCUAGCGCCACCCAAAUAAGGUGCUAACUGGGCAAACCUCGAAUCCGAACCCGAAAACUCCUCCCACAAAUCACCCAAACAGAUACCCACAUUCAAGAAAUCCAACAACGCCAACUUAGCAUCAAAGACUCCAUCUUUUGAGUGAUGAAAGCAAGCAGCAAUGUCACCAUUGUCAAGGUGCUUGAGGGACACCAAGUGGGACCCAACAACACCUGUGAACUCAAGUGGGCCAGUCUGCUUCCACCUGAAUGUUUGGCCAGUGGGGAAAGUGAGGGGCAAGAAAAGCUCGGAUUUUGAGAUGUUGAGUGGGACCCAUUUGG